rnacentral:rRNA from 1 species
GACGAACGCUGGCGGCGUGCCUAAUACAUGCAAGUAGAACGCUGAAGGAGGAGCUUGCUUCUCUGGAUGAGUUGCGAACGGGUGAGUAACGCGUAGGUAACCUGCCUGGUAGCGGGGGAUAACUAUUGGAAACGAUAGCUAAUACCGCAUAACAGUAGAUGUUGCAUGACAUUUGCUUAAAAGGUGCAAUUGCAUCACUACCAGAUGGACCUGCGUUGUAUUAGCUAGUUGGUGAGGUAACGGCUCACCAAGGCGACGAUACAUAGCCGACCUGAGAGGGUGAUCGGCCACACUGGGACUGAGACACGGCCCAGACUCCUACGGGAGGCAGCAGUAGGGAAUCUUCGGCAAUGGACGGAAGUCUGACCGAGCAACGCCGCGUGAGUGAAGAGGGUUUUCGGAUCGUAAAGCUCUGUUGUAAGAGAAGAACGAGUGUGAGAGUGGAAAGUUCACACUGUGACGG